UAAUACGGGGGGGACGAGCGUUGUUCGGAUUUACUGGGCGUAAAGGGCGCGUAGGCGGACCUUCAAGUCGGAAGUGAAAACCGUUGGCUUAACCAGCGGCCUGCUUUCGAUACUGUCGGUCUUGAGUUCAGGAGAGGAAAGCGGAAUUCCAGGUGUAGCGGUGAAAUGCGUAGAUAUCUGGAAGAACACCGGUAGCGAAGGCGGCUUUCUGGCCUGCCACUGACGCUAAAGCGCGAAGGCUAGGGUAGCAAACAGGAUUAAAUACCCUGGUAGUCCUAGCAGUAAACGAUGGGUACUAGGUGUCGGGGGUAUCGACCCCCUCGGUGCCGCAGCUAACGCAUUAAGUACCCCGCCUGGGGAGUACGAUCGCAAGAUUG
rnacentral:rRNA from 1 species